rnacentral:rRNA from 1 species
AUUGAACGCUGGCGGUAUGCUUUACACAUGCAAGUCGAACGGUAACAGGUUAAGCUGACGAGUGGCGAACGGGUGAGUAAUGCAUCGGAACGUGCCCGAUCGUGGGGGAUAACGCAGCGAAAGCUGCGCUAAUACCGCAUACGAUCUGAGGAUGAAAGCGGGGGACCGUAAGGCCUCGCGCGAUCGGAGCGGCCGAUGUCAGAUUAGGUAGUUGGUGGGGUAAAGGCUCACCAAGCCGACGAUCUGUAGCUGGUCUGAGAGGACGACCAGCCAGACUGGGACUGAGACACGGCCCAGACUCCUACGGGAGGCAGCAGUGGGGAAUUUUGGACAAUGGGCGAAAGCCUGAUUCAGCAAUGCCGCGUGCAGGAAGAAGGCCUUCGGGUUGUAAACUGCUUUUGUACGGAGCGAAAAGGCUCUCUCUAAUACAGGGGGCUCAUGACGGUACCGUAAGAAUAAGCACCGGCUAACUACGUGCCAGCCGCCGCCGUAA